rnacentral:sRNA from 1 species
GGUUGCAACAUCCCCGUGGGUUGGGCGCGAGCGCCAAAGGCGCAGACGCAGUGAAUCCACUGCAACC